GGUUGUAGCUCAGUGGUAGACGUCUUGCCUCGCAUGCAUGAGGCACUGGGUUCGAUCCUCAGCACCA
rnacentral:tRNA from 1 species